GCGCAGCAGGCGAGAAAACUUCACAAUGUGCGAAAGCACGAUGAGGGAAUCCCAAGUGCUUGCACGUAAGUGUAAGCUGUUUCUCUGUCUAAAACGCAGAGAGAGUAAGGGCUGGGUAAGACGGGUGCCAGCCGCCGCGGUAAUACCUGCAGCUCGAGUGGUGACCGUUAUUAUUGGGCCUAAAACGUCCGUAGCCGGUUUAAUAAAUGCCUGGGUAAAUCGGACCGCUUAACGGUUCGAAUUCCGGGUAGACUGUUAAACUUGAGACCGGGAGAAGUUAGAGGUACUCCUGGGGUAGAGGUGAAAUUCUGUAAUCCUAGGGGGACCACCAGUGGCGAAGGCGUCU
rnacentral:rRNA from 1 species